rnacentral:rRNA from 1 species
GACGAACGCUGGCGGCGUGCUUAACACAUGCAAGUUGAACGGUCCGGCAUGGAAGCUUGCUGAAGUGUCGGGUAGUAGCGGACGGGUGAGUAAUGCAUGAGAAGCUGCCAUUAGGAGGGGGACAACAGUGGGAAACGGCUGCUAAUACCCCAUAUGCCGGAAGGUGAAACGGAGUGAUCCGCCCGAUGAGGUGCUCAUGUCCUAUCAGCUAGUUGGUGAGGUAACGGCUCACCAAGGCGACGACGGGUAGCCGGCCUGAGAGGGUGACCGGCCACACUGGAACUGAGAUACGGUCCAGAAUCAUACGGGAGGCAGCAGUGGGGAAUAUUGCGCAAUGGGCGCAAGCCUGAUGCAGCGACGCCGCGUGAGGGAUGGAGGCCUUCGGGUUGUAAACCUCUUUUAUCGGGGAGCAAGCGAGAGUGAGUUUACCCGUUGAAUAAGCACCGGCUAACUACGUGCCAGCAGCCGCAGUAA